rfam:Turicibacter sanguinis PC909 contig00016, whole genome shotgun sequence.
GAUAAUCGAAUAGAAUUACCGUAGACAGUAGGGGCUUAUGCUUAAUCAUCCUACCGAGGUUUUGGAUAUAUAUAAUUUAUUUAUUUUCAUGCCUUAGUUAUGCCCUUCUGUCCACGAACUUAAUAGAUUGUGGGCUCAAGGGCUUUUCUACGGACGUA